UACGGGGGGUGCAAGCGUUGUUCGGAUUUACUGGGCGUAAAGGGCGCGUAGGCGGCACCGCAAGUCGACUGUGAAAUCUCCGGGCUUAACCCGGAAAGGUCAACCGAUACUGCGGGGCUAGAGUGCAGAAGGGGCAACUGGAAUUCUCGGUGUAGCGGUGAAAUGCGUAGAUAUCGAGAGGAACACCUGCGGCGAAGGCGGGUUGCUGGGCUGACACUGACGCUGAAGUGCGAAAGCUAGGGGAGCGAACGGG
rnacentral:rRNA from 1 species